rnacentral:rRNA from 1 species
GUCCCUGCCCUUUGUACACACCGCCCGUCGCUACUACCGAUUGAAUGGUUUAGCAAGGUUUUUGGAUCGGUGCCACUUUAGUUGCUUCGGCAGCUUAACCGGUGCUGAGAAGAUGACCAAACUUGAUCAUUUAGAGGAAGUAAAAGUCGUAACAAGGUUUCCGUAGGUGAACCUGCGGAAGGAUCAUUA